rnacentral:rRNA from 1 species
GUUUAUGUGAUCCUGCCGGACCUGACUGCUAUCGGAUUGAUACUAAGCCAUGCGAGUCAUUGUAGCAAUAUUAGGCAGACGGCUCAGUAACGCGUAGUCAACCUACCCUAUGGACGGGAAUAACCUCGGGAAACUGAGUAUAAUGCCCGAUAGAACACUAUACCUGGAAUGGUUUGUGUUUCAAAUGAUUUAUUGCCGUAGGAUGGGACUGCGGCCUAUCAGUUUGUUGGUGAGGUAAUGGCGCACCAAGACUAUUACAGGUACGGGCUCUGAGAGGAGUGUCCCGGAGAUGGGUACUGAGACACGGACCCAGGCCCUAUGGGGCGCAGCAGGCGAGAAAACUUUGCAAUGUGCGAAAGCCGUACAAGGUUAAUCCGAGUGGUUUCUGCUAAAGGAACCUUUUGAGUGUCCUAGAAACACUGUUGAAUAAGGGGUGGGCAAGUUCUGGUGUCAGCCGCCGCGGUAAAACCAGCACCUCAAGUGGUCAGGAUGAUUAUUGGGCCUAAAGCAUGCGUAGCCGGCUCAGUAAGUUUUCGGUUAAAUCUGUACGCUCAACGUACAGGCUAGGUGGAAUACUGCAGAGCUAGGGAGUGGGAGAGGUAGACGGUACUCGGGAGGAAGUGGUAAAAUGCUUUGAUCUUUCGAUGACUUGCCUGUGGCGAAGGCGGUCUACCAGAACACGUCAGACGGUGAGGGAUGAAAGCUGGGGGAGCAAACCGGAUUAGAUACCCGGGUAGUCCCAGCUGUAAACUAUGCAAACUCAGUGAUGCAUUGGCUUGUGGCCAAUGCAGUGUUGCAGGGCUAGCGUUAAGUUUGCCGCCUGGGAAGUACGUACGCAAGUAUGAAACUUAAAGUGA